UUUUUUUUUGUAAAAUAGUAAAUUAUUUUAUGUUCUGUUAUAUUGUAAUGUCUUGCAAUACAACAACAGACUUAGAUUCAUAUUUAAACAGCAUCAUGGGUAUGUUUUGGUGUGGAUUUAACGGGUUCAACCAAUUGAACAUUGAAUCGAACGUCAACUUGGAUUUUCAUGCUCAUGGUGACAAUGGAGAUUAUGGUGAAAUUCUACAAGUGGCUUUUUCUUGGAGUACUGCUUCUAUUUUGACAAGUUCUGGUAUAAUUGUUGCAAGUGGCCUCAUCAACAAAAAAAUUAUCAAUUUUGAAGUAUUGGAUGAUUUAGGAUAUGGUCCUUUUAAAUCUAUUUCUUCAUCUGAAUCAAAGAUAUUAGCUAUUGAUUCAAUUGGCAAAUGUUGGUCGUAUUCAAAAUGUAAUGGCAAGUGGAAAGAUAUUACUUCAAUAUUACAAAGUGAAAAGCAAGUCUCUGUAUCCAAAAAUCAAAACCAACAAUCUAUAAAUUAUGUAUGCUGUAGUGAUACAAUUCAUCUAGCAGUUACACAUAAUGAAAUUUAUUCAAUUCCUACUAAAAUAUUCGAUUCAAAAUUCAAAGUCACUCAAGUAGUGUGUGGCUUUGAACAUAUUGUUAUUUUAAUGGAAACUGGUUGCUUAUAUACACAAGGAUCCAGUAGCCGAGGUCAAUUAGGUCAUGGUGAAUUAAUUGAAGAAGAUUAUCCACGGCUUUUAAAAUCUUUAGAUGGUAUUCGAGUGAUUAAUACUUCUGCUGGCGGUUGGCAUACUGCUGCAAUUACAGAGUAUAAUGAUCUAUACAUGUGGGGCUGGAAUCAUUCUGGGCAACUAGGAAUUUCAAAUUCCCCAGGUUGAAUGUUUUGUAUGACUUUAUUUGGUUUACGGCACUAAUAAGGGUAUUCAAAAUAAUUAUAACAGAAAGUGGUGGUAUAAUAAUGGCUCCAGAACCAGUACUGAUUAAUUGGCCAGAAGAGACAGAUAUUGAACAAGUGAGUUUGGGGGCAAGACAUUCAAUGGUUCUAUCUAAGAACAAUAUACUUUGG
rnacentral:misc_RNA from 1 species